GCCUGGGUGGCUCAGUUGGUUGAGCUCCCGACUUUGGCUCAGGUCAUGAUUUCACAGUUCGUGGGUUUGAGCCCCGCAUCGGGCU
rnacentral:tRNA from 1 species